CAUUUGUUCAGAAACAAGUUCCUCCAACUGAGUUAUGUGACUCUUACUCCUUUGAUUGCUGAGAUGGAGCAGUGAGUCUUCUGAGCUAUGUGCAAAUACAGG